rnacentral:rRNA from 1 species
UGCCAGCAGCCGCGGUAAUACGGAGGGUGCGAGCGUUAAUCGGAAUCACUGGGCGUAAAGCGUACGUAGGCGGCGUAUCAAGUCAGGCGUGAAAGCCCUCGGCUCAACCGAGGAAUUGCGUUUGAAACUGGUAUGCUAGAGUCUCGGAGAGGUUGGCGGAAUUCCAGGUGUAGGAGUGAAAUCCGUAGAUAUCUGGAGGAACACCGAUAGCGAAGGCAAACCACUGGGUAACGACUGACGCUAAUGUACGAAAGCUAGGGGAGCAAAUGGGAUUAGAUA